CGCUUCCUUCCUGUGUGUAUCUUACGCACGCUAGGACGGGGCGGGCUCAGCCUGUAUGUUUUUGUUUCUUUUAAGUUUUUGUCUAUGUUUUGUUGCUUUGGUGAGUUGCAGGCUAUGAGGGCGGGAUUACUUCUGAGGAGACUUUGUCACUGUGCAGGAUCCUGGGUAUGGCUCAGGCUUUGUCUGCAAGAUAAAAAUCUUGUCUGUGCAGAUCAGAAGGAGGAAGGGUUCUCAGCGCUGUUAGGACCUUUCCCAUGUGAUGAUGUGUUUCAUCUCUACACAACCUGAAGAGGUGGCUUUAUAGCACUUGGAAUGUCAUCCCAUCGCCUUUUGGCCAUCAUUGUUUCUGAUGGAAAUUCAGCUACUGGGAAUACUGAAGCUUCUUUAAUCAGGCCACCUAUGCAGAUCCAUACCUUUGAGGAUGAUUUUCUUCCAUGAAGUAGCUGAGCUGGGGGAGUCUAGGCGGCUUCCAAGCUUGAGAUGGAGACAUAUGUGCUUGCUCCCUCCAGGACCUUAACCUUGUGCAGCUUCAGAGACUCUGAGAACAAAGCCACUGAAUGUCCUCUGAAAGCACCAAGCCUUUCCUCCUCAGCAGAUGGGGCUGACCACGACACAUCCAGACCAACUGGGAACAAGGGUCCAAAUGCACUUUCCAUGAAGUCAAUGCUGAUUGCAUCCAGAAGGUCUGGGCCCCUCUAGAUUUGACACCCAGUUUGUAACCGUUCUGGUGGCCCCAUCUCACCAGUGUCACAGAGCAGAUGCAAUGACUGGGUGAGUGUCGUGCCUAACACUGUGGACAGUGGUUCCUGGUGGAGGAGGGGGAACAGUGGAAUUGAGGAGGGCCGGCAGCACCAUGACCCCAGUGACAGACUUCUGCCCACUCAGCUUCCUCACCCACCAUCUCUUGCUCUCUCCAGAGCCUUUGCACUUAUCAGGGCCCAACUCCACAACUUCUUCUUCCUCAUGAAUCUAAAACCCUUUGGAACUUGUGUUGAUGAGUGUGCCCUCUGGCCGGUCUCUAGAGUCUCCACUCGGGUAUGCCCAGCUUUCCAGCCAAGUCAAGUCCCACCAUUCCUGGUACCAUUUCCUCUGUUGCUCACAUUCUUCAUCUCUGCCCAUUGGCUCUCCAGAGGGAUCUGCUCUGCUCCAUUAGUGGAAUGAAACUGUAGGGGUCUAAAUCCAUCUCCUGCAGCACAUAUUUGGCAAAUGCUCUGUCCCAUGGGGGUCUUCUAUUCCAGGGUGGUCAUCAGGUAGGAUUUUUAGCUUUCACAUUAUUGAUCAGGACCAACUAUUUUUCCAGAACAUAGGAGCUUCCAUGGCAAUGGAUCUUGGACUGACAGAACCAUUUAAACACCAUACUUGCUCACAACCAUAAACUUUCCUCUGAGGUGCUCACGGUGGUCUUGGGAGGCCCAUAGCUGGCAGGCAUGGCUUUUACCAUUUCUCUUUCCAGGCUCCUCCUUCUGUCAUUCCUCUUAACUGCUCAAUGAAGGGCUGUCCAGCUGGUCAUGACUCAUCCACUCCUGAUCUAGUUCCUGCAGUAAGUUCUCAUUUUAGUGGUUGAAAUGCUGCUAUCAAUAUCUGGAAAUUAAAUAAUGCAGACCACAGGGCCUGGAAGUACAGCUCAGUGGUAGAACACUUUCCUAACACAGACAAGGCCUUGGGUUCAGUCCUCAUUAUUUCAGAAAAACAAACAAACCAAAAUUCAUACCUCAAACUUGGACCUGAAUCUGAAGAAUGGGGAUUCCCUUGGACAGAGGGACUCAGGAGAGAGGCUGGCUCCAUGGUUCUGCCAGGACAAAGGGAGCUGGGAAGGAGGAUGUGGUCAUUUUCCACUUCCCUUUGUGGCCCUUGUAUUGUUUGUGUGAUUGACAGGCCAGAGGUUAAGGGGCCCAAGGGGAUGGUCUUCUUUGCACCCUCUAGAUGACCUCUAGGGCUGCCUGUGGGAUGCACUCCCAUUUUCCUGAUAAAUCUGAUCUUCCUGUCUCUCUGAAGGCAAGUCCCACAUACGCACAAACUUAGGGGGUCAGUCCCAGCUUCCCUGUAGCAUGGCUGGUUCCUUCCUUGCUGUAUGGCCUUGGGGAGAUGAUGUGUGAUCUUAGUUUCUUGGGCCAUAAAAGUGUGAUGAUGACCCUCCUUAUUUGAGCCGUGAGAUACAUCCCCAGGCCCAUUGCCCAUAGGAGGUGCUCCCUGAAGUCUUCCUCAUCCCUUGGUCCCAGAGGGAAGUGGCUGGACCCCAGGGUUCCUGUACUUUCUCACUGUAGCAACUUCUCUGCUGUCUGGUAGCUGCCUCCUCCCUGUCUUUCCUCCCACCAGGUGAGGAAGUUCAUCUCUUAUUCCUAGGUGAUUACCCAGGUGAUUUAGCAAGCCCAACACAAAGCAGUCUACAAUCAGUGUUUGUGGAAGGAGUAUAGGUUCUGCUUGCUGGAAUGUCCCUUUGUCUCCUGCUCUGUCUGAUGAGAUUGAGACCCUGUGCCACACUCACCUCCCCUGAGAAUUCUUCCUUACGAGGCAGUUUCUACCCUGGGUAUAGCUGAGCACUGCAUGGGGUAGAACAUCCUCUGGGGUACUGCCAGCUGUUUCCUGGGGAUUACAGACAGAUAGUCAUCUUCAUGUCCUUCGAUGAGGGGGUAUGCCUUGGGUGAAUGUUGUAUUCCUGGCUCACCUAGAUGCACCCAGGAGGGCUUCUCUUUUGCACAGAUGAAAAAGAUGCUGGGCCUUUGUGGGCCACAAGGUAAACCAGACACAUAUCCUGACACUCAGGAACCACACUCUUAAAGGAGAUGAGGCACACCCAAGGUUACUAGUACAUAGGGCAAAAUGUGAGCUCAGCCUCCAAGAAGAAGGGAGUAGAAGGGAGGCAUGGGAUAAGUAGGUUUGCUGGAAGAUGGGUACAUGACCCAGGUUUGUGCAAAAACUGUGGGCUAUGAAGAGAUCUUGUGCUUCUUACACAUGUCCCUGACUCAGGUGUGUCAAACCUUGAACAGACAUCCACUUGGGCUGUUCCAGGUAAGGGGGGAUUGUUAGAAGGCUGUGGAGGCUACUGCAUGGGCACCAGAAAGAACAGACAAGGUAUGUUUCUGUCUCAAGUAACUGAAGCCAUUUGCUAGUGGGCAAAAACCAUACAAUCAGUUUGGAACAUGGGGUAUUUCUGAUAAAGUUUAAUGUACACUCAGUAUAUAAUCCAGCAAUUUCAUUCUUUGUAUUCAUCCAGAAGAAACAAAAGCCUAUAUCUUCCAGAUGUCUGUAAGUAUUCAGAGUAGCUUAAUUCCCAAACUGAAAACAACUCAAAUGCCCAUUAGUAGGAAAACGGAUAUACAAAGGGUGGUAUCAUCAUACAAUGUAUAUAAUACAGUAAUUAAAAAGUUAGAAAUGACUGGUGUUCACAGUAAUGUGAAUGAAUCUUAAAAACAUCAUGUUGAGCAAGUGAAAACUGAUACAAAACAGUAAUAUUAUGAUUCCAUUUGUAUGACGUUUGAGGACAGAAAAUAUCCAAAGCGAUGGAAACCUGCACAAUUGCUGCUUCUGGGAAUGGAAGUGCAGUGGAGGUUGGGUAGAGGGUCUCUGGAUCUUGCUUAUAGUAAUAACAGGGUGGUAUUCUUUUGUCAGAACUCAUCAAUUUUUGAUAUUUGAGCAUUUUACUGUGUAGAAAAUAAGCCUCAAUAAAAUUUUAUUUUAAAAAAUCA